AGCCUCAGGGUUUCUUCUCAGAAGUUCUCUGCUGGCCCUUCCACCUUGUCUAGGUGCCACAGAUCCCUCCCUGAGCAGGGUCACUGUCCUCCCAGUUGAGGAGGCGCAGAGUGCUUGUCUUAGACCUGUCCCCAUGGCUAGAAUACCUGAGCCACGCUUGAGGGACUGCCCCAAGAUGCUGGGUGUAUCUGAGCCUUGAGUAGACGCAGGCUUGGGAUAUGAGGUGGAUUUGGUCUUGCUCUCCGUCCUGCCCUUUGAGCUCCUCUCUCUGUCAUCCUCUGUGGAAAGCACUCCAGAGGUCACAGUGGUCCACUGCAUUUCUCCCUGGAAGAGCCCAACCUGUGCUUAGACAUAGAAGAGAUGAGGCGUGUUCAGGAAGUUCAAGGCCCUUCUCACACCAUGCAGCCUUGGGCGGAGCCUGUGAUCCACGCCAGGUCAAAUCUCCGUGUUGUUCUGGACAUCACAGUGCCUGAGAGAGCAGGAGGCCAGCAGAUGACCCCGGAGGGCUGUCAUGGAGAGGUUUCCUAUGGAACUGGUGCUGUGGGCACAUGGAAUGUCAUUGCUGGUCAGAGAGUGCAAGUCCAGUGACCUCACCCUCCAGGGAAACCGUGUUCACAGACUGACGUGGGAAGUUAGUUCCCCAUGAGUGCUGGCCCCUGGGAGAACCUCUCCUGUUGUCACGGUCACCAUGCUGUGGCAGACAGUAUGGAAACAAGCCACCACUGUGGAAGAGGUGGGGCCCCUGUAUUCCAGAAGCUUGGUGCAGAGGGGCGGGUUGUACCCAGAUCCGUGUACUCUGGGUAAGCUCUGAGCACCCGUGACAGGCUGGCACUGCUUUGAGUUUGAAGAUACAGUGAAGAACAUAUUUUCUAAAAAAAAGUAACCUUAAGGAACUCCUAUGGCGGAUCUGGAUAAGGAACCGACUGUCGCCGGAGCUGUGGACCUGAGACAGAAGACAGACAGACAGCUGUGCUUUCACCAGGUGGUGAGGAGAGCAUGGCAGCGAGAGCUGAGCAGAAUCCUAAAGAAAGUUCAGAGCCAAGUGCCCCGGGGACGGGGGAACCUUUAGGAAGGGCGUGCCUGGGUAGAGGUCACUGGGUGAAAGGGGGCCUGGAGACGGGUGCACCUGGGGGAAGAUGGAGCACCCCCAGGUAGAGACAAACUUGGGGAAACACACACCUGGGAGAAGGGUACACUCAAUGGAAGACCACAGUGAGAGUAGGCUUGAAGGAGGCAUUUGUCUGGAAAGCUCCAGAGCAGAAGGAGGGCACAGGGGAGUGAUGGGCAGCAUGGACUACGUGGGAGUUAGGAUGCACUGCGUCCUGUCCAGGUGAGGAUGAGGCAUGGACUCCUCAUUCCUCCCCUCCCAUUGUAUGGCUGUCACCGUCUGUUCUGACCUUUGGCAGCCAGCCUUCUGCGGAGGAGGGGCCCCACAGGGCUCUGGGGUGCUGUCUCUUCCCUCUGGUGCUUUGUGACUCCUCUCAGCUCUGAGCUCACGGGGUGAAUCCUCAGGGAGGCCUCUAGACUGCUUUGACACGCGGCUUCUGCCCCCCCUGCCAUACACCUUGGAACCGCCCUUCCUGCAACCUGCAGCCUGCAAGAAUCCUGGUAUUACCAAGCAUUGUGGUGAACAGCUUUAAUCCCAGCCCUGGGGAGGUGGAAUCUCUGAGUUCAAGGCCAGCCUGGUCUAUAUCGUGAGUUCCAGACCAGCCAGGGCUUCAUAGUGAGACCAUAUGCCCGAAAAAGAAGAAAAGGAUACUGCGUGCUAAUGACAUGCUCUGACUCCAUGCGGCAGGGUACCCGCUCCUAGAACAGCACUGGUGCACAGGGAUGCUUGGUGAGUACCUCACUCUACCAUAUCUCCAGGAGUCUGUGUGUGUGAGAGAGAGAGAGAGGACAUGUGCCCAGGAGGACAACACAGGCCCCCACUUGUCCCUCCCCUUCUCCUCCCCUUAAGUUCUGGAGGAAAAGGAAGCCUUCUGCCCACUAUACGGUCUCAGGUGCUCAGGGACCUCUUUUCAUCACUGCCUGUUCCCUCUCAGCCCACCCCUGGCACGUCCCGCUUGGUGUGGUCCUGGAAACCUGACCGGGGCGAUGCAGGAACAAGGAAACGGCAGACGCGCAUCCAGAAAAGCUGGGAUGCGGUGGGCUGUGCUUGCUCUGAUGGAGGGCACCUACUGCACAGCUCAGACACUUGGCCUUUAUUACAAACAGCAGCACAGGGAAGAGGGCUUCGGCAUUAUCAGUGGGAAGUCUGUGGGGAGCAGUCUCAGGUUGCAUCAUCCUAGAGGAGGAAGAUGUAGCUGCUAGCUUUUGCACCCACUGGUCCAUAAUUUGUAAUCAUUGGUAUUUGGACCAGAGGAAGAUGUUGUCAUUCCUCUGAGCCUCACUGGGGGAAGGCUUUGCCAUCCUUCUGGGUUUGAUCUGUUCCACAUACAUCCCUCACUACAAAUGCAUCACCUCCAUCUUAAAUAAAAAAAAAAAAAAAACCUUCUUUUAUUUUUGCCUCGCAUCUUAUCUCAUGCCCCACCUUGUUUCAAACCUCUAACACAGACUCUUUUCCCCUUGGCUUUGGAGAGAAGACUCAGAAUCAGGCUAUUGUAAUCUGUACUUGCUGAGCACAUUGGAGGUUUUUUUCCUAGAGACAAGUAGCACCUGUAGAUCACGUCUUCUCUCCAAAGGCUCGGGUACCUUUGCCUGGCCACCAUCACUCACGAAUGCAAUGAUUUACUAACAUCUGUAGAGGAAGGGGUGGCCAGAGAUCCUUGUCAGGCCAGUCAGGACCCUGGGGGCUGCCGGCCUCUCCUGGGAGGUUAUCUGCCCGUCUGGGCUGGGCACUCAGGGCAUACAGGCUUGGUAGAGCUGCCCACUGUCAGCUGUUCACAUGAGCAGGACUGAGGCAACUCACUCACUUGGCAUCGACACCGUUUUCCAUUACUACCACCUUUGGCACAGAGCUGAGGUGACUCACUUGGCAUUACGUUUCUCCACUGCCUCCAUCACUGGCAUGUCCUUGAAAGUCUCCCUUCCAGAUCCACCAGACCAGCCACCCUACACUGCCGUUUUGUCUCCAGUUCAGUGCGAAGUGACGUUGCGACGGCACAGGAGAACAUGUCCAGUCCUUCAGAAGCAGUGCCAAACUUGCAACUUUGCUGGAAAUUUCUCAAUACGCAAGGUCUGCCCAUGAGCUCACUGUGGAGCCUCUCCCAGCCUCCCUGGAGGGCUGUGCCAGGAGCUGGAUGUACCCAAAGAGUUGGUGCUGUUUCCAGACAUUUUUGUUAUUGUGGCUGCAAGAGGGAUCUAUACUCAUUUAUUUAAAGGAUGGUUGCUAGGAUAUACAAAUGAGUGCAUCCUAUGUGUACUGGUACCCCAUCGCUGUCCACUGCUCUUAUUGUGACUUGGGAAUGCCUACUGCUUCUCUGAGGAAGGGCUAUAAUUCUCUGUCCUGAGGACACCAGUUCUCGGCCAGGAAACUGUGGCUUUAUGCAGUUUCUCUAGGUGUCCACUUCUGUUUUUUUUUUUUUUUUAAUUUUUCGAGACAGGGUUUCUCUGUGUAGAUUUGUACCUUUUCUGGAACUCACUCUGUAAACCAGGCUGACCUUGAACUCACAAAGAUCCACCUGCCUCUGCCUCCCGAGUGCUGGGAUUAAAGGCGUGCACCACCACCGCCUGGCUUUUUUUGUUUGUUUGUUUGUUUUUUAGUUUUUCCACUCCUGGUUUUUAAACCAUCCCUAAACAUGGUGUUUUAAGCCUAUGUGGGUAACUGAUCGAACUUGCUCUUCCUUGAAUCUCUCUUAUGUUGUGGCAGUCAGUGGCUGCUGGGGUUGCCAAUUAAUUGGAGACAUCUGGAUGUCUUGAGAUAGUUGGGUCACUGUCACUAGGAAUCUCAGCCGACUCCUAACUCAGCCACUGUUGGGAGAUCCAGGCAGGAACUGUGACCUGGCCUCAGAAUGUCACUUCCACCUUGAUCCAUUGGCCAAGCAAGUCAUUAAGGUCAGGACCAAGAAGCAAGGUAUAAGGAACUGGGGUAACACGGGGAAGGAGCGGCAACAGAGGGGGGUGACCAGUGUUGGCAUAUUACAUUGCACAUGUGAAACAAUUACACAUCCACUAAAAAUAAAGAUGAGAUGACAGGAAGGCAUGCAGAUUCCUCAUUGAUGUAGUUAACACAUGACAGGCUCCAAAAACAGCCACAUAACUCUGCUGUGCCGCUCACUUCAUUACCGUGAUUUGGAACUGAACCUGCAGUGUGGUGGAGGGCAGGCUCAUGAGUAUUUGGCUUUCAUAAAGCCUUGCCUAGGUCUUGUUUUGUUUUUUAAAUAAUUUCAUUGCCAAAACUUUCUCCAUUCUAAUCCUAAUCCUCCACAAAUUCACAAUUCCCAUCAAAUAUUGUCCCACUGGUAAGUAUGCUAUUUAAGGCUCCUGUUGGCUUGCUUAUGCACAGUAGCCCUUGUUCACUGGUAGUCAGCAAGGCCAGAGAGGCAUUUCCAGAAAUGGUAAAAAGCACUUACUAGGGCUAGUGGAGAAAGAUGGGAAGGGACCUCUUGCCUCAAGCAAGGUACCCUGCUAGGUGAGGUACAGCGGGCACGCUUAGCAGUACUGGCCACUAGGGGGAGCCCUGAGCUCUCCACCAGGUACGGGUGCUGGCCUCAGCAGCUAUGAGGCUUCCAAUCCAGUGAGAG